UGGGGAAUAUUGGACAAUGGGCGCAAGCCUGAUCCAGCCAUGCCGCGUGAGUGAUGAAGGCCCUAGGGUUGUAAAGCUCUUUCACCGGUGAAGAUAAUGACGGUAACCGGAGAAGAAGCCCCGGCUAACUUCGUGCCAGCAGCCGCGGUAAUACGAAGGGGGCUAGCGUUGUUCGGAUUUACUGGGCGUAAAGCGCACGUAGGCGGACUAUUAAGUCAGGGGUGAAAUCCCGGGGCUCAACCCCGGAACUGCCUUUGAUACUGGUAGUCUUGAGUUCGAGAGAAGUGAGUGGAAUUCCGAGUGUAGAGGUGAAAUUCGUAGAUAUUCGGAGGAACACCAGUGGCGAAGGCGGCUCACUGGACCAUUACUGACGCUGAGGUGCGAAAGCGUGGGGAGCAAACAGG
rnacentral:rRNA from 1 species